AACGAACGCUGGCGGCAUGCCUAACACAUGCAAGUCGAACGAGACCUUCGGGUCUUGUGGCGCACGGGUGCGUCACGCGUGGGAACCUGCACUUAGGUUCGGCCUAACUACACGACUGGGGUGCUAAUACCGGAUAAUGUCUUCGGCCCAAAGAUUUAUUGAAUUUGUAUGUGCACUCGUUGGAUAAGCUUGUUGGUAGGGUAAUAGACUACCAAGGCGACGAUCCAUAGCUGGUCACUGAGGAUGAUCAGCAACUCUGGGACUGAGACGCGGCCCAGAAUCCUACGGGAUGCACGAGUGGGUAAUAGUGCACAACGGCGUGAAGCCUGAUCCACCUAUGCCGCUAGAGCGAUGUAGGUCGGAGGGUACUAAUGUGCAAUUACCCGUGAUGAUAAUGACGGUACCGGGUGAAUAAGCCACGGCUAACUCCGUG
rnacentral:rRNA from 1 species